rnacentral:rRNA from 1 species
UGGGGAAUUUUGGACAAUGGGGGCAACCCUGAUCCAGCAAUGCCGCGUGUGUGAAGAAGGCCUUCGGGUUGUAAAGCACUUUUGUCCGGGAUGAAAUCGCACCUGAUAAUACCGGGUGUGGAUGACGGUACCGGAAGAAUAAGGACCGGCUAACUACGUGCCAGCAGCCGCGGUAAUACGUAGGGUCCAAGCGUUAAUCGGAAUUACUGGGCGUAAAGCGUGCGCAGGCGGUUGUGCAAGACCGAUGUGAAAUCCCCGGGCUUAACCUGGGAAUUGCAUUGGUGACUGCACGGCUAGAGUGUGUCAGAGGGGGGUAGAAUUCCACGUGUAGCAGUGAAAUGCGUAGAGAUGUGGAGGAAUACCGAUGGCGAAGGCAGCCCCCUGGGAUAACACUGACGCUCAUGCACGAAAGCGUGGGGAGCAAACAGG